UACAGAGGGUGCUAGCGUUGUUCGGAAUUACUGGGCGUAAAGGGCUCGUAGGCGGCCAACUAAGUCCGACGUGAAAUCCCCAGGCUUAACCUGGGAACUGCGUCGGAUACUGGAUGGCUUGAAUUCGGGAGAGGGAUGCAGAAUUCCAGGUGUAGCGGUGAAAUGCGUAGAUAUCUGGAGGAAUACCGGUGGCGAAGGCGGCAUCCUGGACCGACAUUGACGCUGAGGAGCGAAAGCUAGGGGAGCAAACGGG
rnacentral:rRNA from 1 species